GAUGAACGCUGGCGGCGUGCCUAACACAUGCAAGUCGAACGAACAGACGCUGAUCUUGCGCGGCGGACGUGAGCCGCGGAGGUGAGAGAAACGUGUGUAAACUCCCCCUAACAUUCGGAUAAAACUACGAGACAGGGGAGCUAAUAGGGUAGGAGAUAUUGCAGCACAUGGGGGGUUGGUAAGAUACGGCGGUUGUGGAACGAAUAGAGGCAUAUGCGCCGUAUGAGCUGGUUGGUAAGGUAACGGCUUAUGAAGGCUACGAUGCGUAGCCGAGAUGAGGGGGUGAUCGGCCACACUGGAACGGAGACACGCUCCAGACUCCUACGGGAGGCAGCAGUAGGGAAUCGGCCGCAAUGGGCGAAAACCUGACGGAGCAGGGCCGAGUGAGUGAUGAAGGUCUUCGGGUCGGAAAGCUCUGUUAUUAGGGAAGAACCAAUGUGUAAGUAACUAUGCACGUCUUGACGGUAACUAAUCAGAAAGCACCGGCUAACUACGUG
rnacentral:rRNA from 1 species